rnacentral:rRNA from 1 species
GAUCUGGCUCAGGAUGAACGCUAGCUACAGGCCUAACACAUGCAAGUCGAGGGGAAACGGCAGCUUAGCUUGCUAAGCUGGACGUCGACCGGCGCACGGGUGAGUAACGCGUAUCCAACCUGCCCCACGGUGAGGGAUAACCCGCGGAAACGCGGCCUAAUACCUCAUGGCCUCCGAGCUUGACAUCAAUCUUGGAGUAAAGAUUCAUUGCCGUGGGAUGGGGAUGCGUCUGAUUAG